GACCUGGUAGUGAAAUGUUAUCACGCCUGCCGUCUGUUUGUACAUCCCAUGAGAGAUGUAAGGCGGGAAUCCCCGGUUCGAUUCCGGGCCAGGUCG